GAAGGUCCAGGCGUUAUCCGGAUUUAUUGGGUUUAAAGGGAGCGUAGGCUGGAGAUUAAGUGUGUUGUGAAAUGUAGACGCUCAACGUCUGAAUUACAGCGCAUACUGGUUUCCUUGAGUACGCACAACGUUGGCGGAAUUCGUCGUGUAGCGGUGAAAUGCUUAGAUAUGACGAAGAACUCCGAUUGCGAAGGCAGCUGACGGGAGCGCAACUGACGCUUAAGCUCGAAGGUGCGGGUAUCAAACAGGAU
rnacentral:misc_RNA from 1 species